CCAAUCCUCAGGUCAGCAGUUCAGACGUUACAAAGGUUUAACCCAUUGCGCCACUGUGGCUCCUUUUCAAGACUGAUCAGUGAUUUGAACCCAGGGAUCCUGGAGUUCUACACUCAGACUAUUUCGCUGUCUCCUACUUAUGCUCAUUAAACCCUAGCAAUGUACUCAGGGACAGACUGAAUACAUGAUUCUAAGCUCUAAGUAUAGGGCAAGGUAAAAAUGCAAGUUAUGCAUCCCUAAUCUGAAAAUCUAGAAUGCUCCCUUACAAAUUGUUCAUAUGGAUGUCUGAAACAGUGACACCUUUUCUUUUUGGUGGUUGAAUGUACACAAACUUGCAUAUAAAAUUAACUUCAGGCUGUGUGUAUAAGGUGUCUAUGAAACAUAAAUGUAUUUCAUCUGUAAACUCCAAGAUUUCUCAUUGUGUAUAUGCAAACCUUCCAAAAUCCAAAUUCCAAGAUAUUUUUGCCCCCAAAUAUUUCAGAUAAGGAUUACUCAUCCUUUAUAUAGACAGGUGAAUAUAGGCUUAAAUGAACAAGGAUAGGUUUAUUAAAUAUUCCACAAAACCAUAGGUAGUUCUCCAUUCUUUCUCAAAUCCAAAUCUCUCUAUUUCAUCCCCAAUCCUUGUCUUUAUAAACGGAAGGCUCUGUCUAUGUUAACUUCCAACUCAGUCGGUGCCAGUUCAAAACUAUAUGGUUUAGAGGCAAGUCUCUGUCUUUUGAUACAUUCUGUUUCCCUGCAGGGCCCCUUCACAGUCUCCUUGAACAUGGAUUGGCUGCUUCACACAUCUCCAUUAUGAAUUAUAUGGAACAGAGGGAAGUCCACCAGUGCUCCUCCUGCUAAGAACAAGGACAAAGUUGCCUCCCAAUUAAAUGCUAAUCUCGAGUCUCCGUGAUUGAUUUGAAUGCUUCUGUGAGCAACACAUGCAGUGCUUCCAAGUCUGGAUAAAAAAUGGCAAGGGCUAUCAUCAAUCCUCAUGCCUGGGAGGGGCUGUAGACCACAUGAUCAGAUCUGGGACUGCUGGGAUCUCAGACUCCAUGUUAGAACACAGAGAUGCUUUUUGACUUCAGACUCCAUUAGAGCACAGACUCCAUGAAACACUCCAUGGGACUGUUAAGAGCAAACUCAUGUUGCUGUGUUAUCUGCACAGAAAAACUUCAAAACCUAUCUGUAACCAGAUUGACAAGUUAUGUACCUGUAUGCUGAAUACAUGAAGGUUGUGAGUAAACCAGAUAUGUUAUUUUUAAUGAAGUCUUCUUUAUUUUUGUCUCUUGAGAGCAUGAUAUAGAAACAAGAUAUUUUAUGGGAGAGUAGAUGUUUUUGGGCACUGAAAAGAACGCUUCUGAAGAACUGUUAUAUUUUGUGCAUUGGCACAAUCUCUGUUCCUAGGUUACUAGUCUAAUGACUGAAAGUCAAAUUGCCUUGCACAUGUACAUGUGGAUGCACACCACUGAAGAGAGGAUUUUACUUAAACGAAUUUUUGGUUCUUCUCUGGAAGAUCAUACUUUUACAAAAGGUUAUGAUUUUAAAAUGAUUGUGAAUACAUUUUUUCUCCAAAAGGCUAUGGAGAUUCCGGUUUUCCAAAAGGUAUUCCCACCAUGGAAAAGUUACCACCCUUCCCUUUGAUUUCUUCAAAUAUUACUGGAAAGUGUGGUCUCCCCUCCAUUUUAUCUUUUGUUUGAGUGUGAUUAGUAAAGCAAACAUCUGCUUGUCUUUCUUAUUUUGAAAUUCAAAUUACCGUCCUUUUCUGUUGUUGUUGUUGUUGUUGUUGUUGUGGUUGUGGUUGAAUUUAUAUGUGAACAUCUGCUUGCCUGGUGCAGCUUGCUUUUCAAACCCGGAUAUUUUAAUUAGAUUUACAUUACUGAAAGUCAAAUGCCCCUUUGAAUUGAUAUAUGUAUGUGUGCAUGCAAGGUGGGAAUAAAUAAUUUAUAGACAAAUGUGUUCAUGUCAUUGAUAAUAAUCCAAGAUGAGAGUGUGAAAAAGGCAGGGAACCUCAUAUGGUCUGUAUUAACUUCUGUUUUAAAAAGUGUGUGACCCAAUACAAAACUGAAUUCGGAUUCAAACAGAUGUGUGUGUCACUAGAAGUCAAACCAGUACAGGAUAAAGCUGGGACUAUAGAGCACUUGCAGAUUAGAUUUAGGUGAAUAGAUGUGCUUCUGAAUCUGCUUGAAAAGUGCAUGGUGGUAACUUCUCUGGAUCCUUAUUCAGAGGAACAGGAAGGCUUCUAAGUCUCUUAACCUUUUCUUCUUUCAAAGAAGGUUAUAACUUGUUAAGAGAAGCCACUCAGUUAUCCAGCAUCAUAAACAGUAUGGUUAUAAACUAGCCCAGUGGAAAGAUUGGUAGCUGCACUGUACUGUUAAUGUGGAUGCUUAUAAUAGUGUAGUAAAUAACUCAUUUCAUCACUGCAGCUUGCGGGUCUCACAAACGGAGGCGUUUGAAUGUUCCCUAGAUUAUUCCUAACUCUUCUAUAUUGGACAAUAAAAGAAAUUGCUUUCCUGUGUUUUUUCUCUCCGCCCCUCGUGUGUACCUGCUUACAAAACUAUCUCAUACAUAAUGCAGCGCAAUAAAGCGCAGCACAUAAUGGCUGUUUUGCCUUUACCCCAAUGUGUAAAUAGCAGGAGAAACCCAUUAUUCAAAAUGUUGCCUUCAAACAACAAUCUGAGCUUGACAAACUUUAAAUAAUUUGAAGGGACGAUGGAAACUGAUGUUUCCUUGGAGCAUCUUUUAGGAGGCUCAUCAAACAACACUUCUCCCCUCUCCCUGCUGCCCUAGCUCAAGUGCCCAGAAAAAUGGAUAAUUUUCCUUAAAGGUAAAGCUACACUCAUCUGAAAUGCUGCAAAGGGAUGUCGCUUUGGUAAGUUAUCUUGUAUUUCAGCAUUCAGAUGGAGGCUUUUUAUUUCUUUGCUUUGAACAAUUUAGUUUAAUUUUAAGUGCUCUUUUAAUGACUACUGUAACAAAAGUUUAGAUGCCCCUUGAUUUUGCACAUCUUUAUAUUAUUUGAAUUUGCUUCCAAUUUGGAUUAUACACAGGUCUAUACAGGUUAAAUCUUCCUUAUCUGACAUGCUUGGGACAAGGAAAUUUUUAGGAUUUGGGACUUUUUUGGAUAUUGGAAUAUCUGUAUUUGCAUAUAGAUAGUGAGUAAGGGAGAAAGUGGGCCAAUCAUGCCUCCAGUGCCCCCUGAGUUUUCACUCAAGCAGCUCUAAUGUGUGAAGGGGAAAAGAGGAAAAGUGGGAAAGAGAACUCCACUUACACAAAGCCCCUGUAAAAUGCAACUGUCUAUGAUGUUAUGAAGAUAUUCUCUGGAUAUCAGCACACUUUUUUUGCCCUUUUAAUAAAGUAGCUGGAAAAAAGAGAACAUUCCCUUCCUACACCUUGUGUCAAGAUACAGGCAAUGGACAAUGGGGUUGCUUUAUACUCUCACAUUUAGUUUCCAGGGCACUUGCUGUGCUGUGAACUGCAACUGGUGGACACUGGAAGUGUGACUAACCCCCUUUCCCCAAAGGUGGCAAUCGGUGACAGAAGGUUUGCCUUAUGGAAUAUUUAGGAUUUCAGAUUUUCUCUGCCUGUCUUCCUCAGCACCCAAGAAAGAAGAUGGAGGAAGUUCGACAAUUGUCUUGAUUAGCCAGUUUCUUUUUUCUGUAGCCUAGCUAUUGGAAAUGCACAUAUUUUUGCCCAGUAUGAUGUAUUGUUGUUUUACUUGAUAUAUUACUGUUUUAUCUUUUUUAUGUUGUGAUUUGUACUAUGUUGUUUAUAUUUUGUCCUUAUGUUGUUUGGGCCGUUGCCCCAUGUAAGCCGCCCCGAGUCCCCAAGGGGAGAUGGUAGUGGGAUAUAAAUAAAGUAUUAUUAUUAUUAUUAUUA